rnacentral:rRNA from 1 species
UACGGGGGGGGGCAAGCGUUGUUCGGAAUUACUGGGCGUAAAGGGCUCGUAGGUGGCCAACUAAGUCAUACGUGAAAUCCCUCAGCUUAACUGGGGAACUGCGCCUGAUACUGGUUGGCUUGAGUUUGGGAGAGGGACGCGGAAUUCCAGGUGUAGCGGUGAAAUGCGUAGAUAUUGGGAGGAACACCAGUGGCGAAGGCGGCUCACUGGACCGGUUCUGACGCUGAGGCGCGAAAGCGUGGGGAGCAAACGGG